rnacentral:rRNA from 1 species
UACGGAGGAUGCAAGCGUUAUCCGGAAUGAUUGGGCGUAAAGCGUCCGCAGGUGGCUAUGUAAGUCUGCUGUUAAAGAGUGAGGCUCAACCUCAUAAGAGCAGUGGAAACUACAUGGCUAGAGUGCGUUCGGGGCAGAGGGAAUUCCUGGUGUAGCGGUGAUAUGCGUAGAGAUCAGGAAGAACACCGGUGGCGAAAGCGCUCUGCUAGGCCGCAACUGACACUGAGGGACGAAAGCUAGGGGAGCGAAUGGG